AUGAGGGGCCACAGCACGUUGAAUGCAUCAGUUCCCGAUGGACCACGGAAGUUAAGCAACGUUGUGCUUGAUUUGUAUCUGGAUGGGUGACCUCCUGGGCAAUCGCGUGCUGCUGUCU
rfam:Asian citrus Psyllid, Diaphorina citri - Florida Strain, whole genome shotgun sequence.